UCAAAACGGAGGAACCCGAGAGACUCCGCGAGGACUGCAGGCUGGGCACUGAGCCCGCAUCCAAUGGCCUGAUCCAUGGCAGCAAGGAGGUCAUCCUGGGCCAGCCAUCCAGUGCCUUUGGGCCACACCAGCAAGACCUCAGGAUCCCUUUGACUCUACACACAGUCCCCCCUGGGGCCCGGAUCCAGUUUCAGGGACCUCCACCUUCAGAGUUGAUACGGUUGACCAAGGUCCCCUUGACACCAGUGCCUAUUAAAAUGCAAUCUUUACUGGAGCCUUCUGUAAAAAUUGAAACUAAAGAUGUCCCGCUCACCGUGCUUCCCUCAGAUGCAGGUAUUAGACGACAGGGGAA
rnacentral:lncRNA from 1 species